AUUGAACGCUGGCGGCAUGCCUUACACAUGCAAGUCGAACGGUAACAGGUCUUCGGAUGCUGACGAGUGGCGAACGGGUGCGUAAUACAUCGGAACGUGCCCGAUCGUGGGGGAUAACGGAGCGAAAGCUUUGCUAAUACCGCAUACGAUCUACGGAUGAAAGCAGGGGACCGCAAGGCCUUGCGCGGACGGAGCGGCCGAUGGCAGAUUAGGUAGUUGGUGGGAUAAAAGCUUACCAAGCCGACGAUCUGUAGCUGGUCUGAGAGGACGACCAGCCACACUGGGACUGAGACACGGCCCAGACUCCUACGGGAGGCAGCAGUGGGGAAUUUUGGACAAAGGGCGAAAGCCUGAUCCAGCCAUGCCGCGUGCAGGAUGAAGGCCUUCGGGUUGUAAACUGCUUUUGUACGGAACGAAAAGACUCUUUCUAAUAAAGAGGGUCCAUGACGGUACCGGAAGAAUAAGCACCGGCUAACUACGUG
rnacentral:rRNA from 1 species